rnacentral:rRNA from 1 species
AUGAUAGAGUUUACACCCGUGGCGCAUGCCGUCACCAAUGGCAACCUUCCUGCCGUCAAGUACCUCAUUGAUCAUGGCGCUGAUCUGCAUCAGCAACGUGCAGAGGGAAACAUCACCCUUCUUCAUGUAGCUGCAGUUCAUGGGUACUCUGAAAUAGUUAAGUUUCUUCUUGUGAGGGGAGCUGACGUCGAUGCAUUAUCAGAUCUUGGGACAGCACUCGCGGAUGCUGCCAUUAGAGGAUAUCCUAGUAUUGUCAAGACCCUUUUGGAGCACAAUGCAGAUCCCAACGACACUAGAUGUCAGUUUGGACCUUUAAGCAUGGCAUUACAAAAAUCUUCCGUAGCCUGUGUGAAGCUAUUGAUUCAGGGUGGAGCUAAUGUCAGUAGUGAUAGUCCUCGGGAUAAUCUUUUGGUGAAGGCUGCAGAGAAGGGCUUAACUGAAGCUAUCAAGUGCUUGUUGGAAGCUAGCGCAAACCCAAAUGUUCCUAACACAUUUGGUAGACUGCCAAUAGAGUUGGCUGUUGAGUAUGGUACACGGGAAGAUGUUGAGAUUCUCUUUCCGUUCACCUCACCCAUUUCAACUGUGGAAAAUUGGAGCGUUGAUGGAAUCAUUAGUCAUGUGAAGAUGGAAAUCAAGCAACUAGAGGUAUACCACUGCAAAUUUUCUUGCACACCCGGGGCAAUUUUGGUGCACUUUAACUCUCUUGAAUGUGUUGCCGUUAAGUCCAUGUUUAACUAA